rnacentral:rRNA from 1 species
AUUGGAAGUAAAAGUCGUAACAAGGUUUCCGUAGGUGAACCUGCGGAAGGAUCAUUAUUGAAUGAACUUGACUUGGUUGCUGCUGGUCUUUUCAAAGGCAUGUGCACACCUUGUCAUCUUUAUAUCUCCACCUGUGCACCUUUUGUAGACCUGGAUUCAACAUUCCGAGGCAACUCGGUCGUGAGGAAUUGCUUCACAGCUUUCCUUGUAAGUUUCCAGGCCUAUGUUUUUCAUAUACACCAUAAGAAUGUAACAGAAUGUCAUUAUUAGACUUCAUUGUCUUAUAAACUAUAUACAACUUUCAGCAACGGAUCUCUUGGCUCUCGCAUCGAUGAAGAACGCAGCGAAAUGCGAUAAGUAAUGUGAAUUGCAGAAUUCAGUGAAUCAUCGAAUCUUUGAACGCACCUUGCGCUCCUUGGUAUUCCGAGGAGCAUGCCUGUUUGAGUGUCAUUAAAUUCUCAACCUUUGUCAACUUUUUUGGUUGACCAAUGGCUUGGAUGUGGGGGUCUUGCAGGUUUCUCUUUUGAAAUCAGCUCCCCUGAAAUGUAUUAGCUGGUUGCGUUGUGUAGACCUGUCUAUUGGUGUGAUAAUUAUCUACGCCGUGGACUGUUUGCCAUUUUAGCACUGCUUCUAACUGUCUGUUCAUUCAGACGAUAUAUGACAAUUGACCUCAAAUCAGGUAG